rnacentral:rRNA from 1 species
ACGAACGCUGGCGGCGUGGAUAAGACAUGCAAGUCGAGCGCUGAUUACGAGGUAGCAAUAUUUCGUAGUUGGAGCGGCGCAAGGAUGCGUAACACGUGGGUAAUCUGCCGUGAAAUCUGGAAUAACUUGCUGAAAGGCGAGCUAAUACCGGAUGUGAAAAUUGGAGGGCAUCUUCUGAUUUUCAAAGUUGGGGACCGUAAGGCCUGACGCUUCACGAUGAGCCCGCGGCCUAUCAGCUAGUUGGUGAGGUAACGACUCACCAAGGCUAAGACGGGUAACUGGUCUGAGAGGACGACCAGCCACACUGGAACUGAAACACGGUCCAGACACCUACGGGUGACAGCAGUCGAGAAUUUUUCACAAUGGGCGAAAGCCUAAUGGAGCGACGCCGCGUAGGGGAUGAAUGACUUCGGCCCGUAAACCCCUAUCAUUCGCGAACAAUGCCUACGUGCUAACACCAUGCAGAUUGAUAGUAGCGGAAGAAAAAAAACGGCUAACUCUGUGCCAACAACCGCGGUAAUACAAAAAUCCCAAGCGUUGUUCGAAUUCACUGAGCGUAAAGAAUGCAUAGAUGAUCGAGUAAAUCUGAUGUGAAAUCUCGGAGCUCAACUCCGAAACGGCAUUGGAUACUAUUCGGCUUGAGGGUUGGAGGAGGGACUGGAAUUCUCGGUGUAGCAGUGAAAUGCGUAGAUAUCGAGAGGAACACCAAUGGCGAAGGCGAGUCCCUGGACAACUCCUAACACUAAAACACGAAAACUAGGGGAGCAAACAGGAUUAGAUACCCUGAUAGUCCUAGCCGUAAACAGUGCGUAUUUGCUGUAAAAGGAAUCGACCCCUUUUGUGGCAUAGCCAACGCGUUAAAUACGCCGCCUGGGAAGUACGGUCACAAAAUUAAAACUCAAAGAAAUUGACGGGGGCCUGCACAAGCAAUGGAGUAUGUGGCUCAAUUCAAUGCAACGCGAAGAACCUUACCUGACCUUAACAUAUAAAUAGUAGAAAAAUGAAAGUCUAACGAUUCCGCAAGGAAAGCUUACACAGGUGCUGCAUAACUAUCGUCAGCUCGUGUCGUAAGAUGUUGGGUUAAGUCCCGCAACGAGCGCAACCCCUGCGUCCUAUUGCCACCCGAUCGAGAGAUCGGAGCACUCUGGACGGACUACCUCGCUUCAACGAAAAGGAAGGUGGAGAUGACGUCAAGUCAAUAUGGCCCUUACGGCCAGGGCUGCACACGUACUACAAUGCCCGGCACAAAGGGAAGCAAGACCGUCAGAUGGAGCAAAUCCCCAAAAACCGGACCCAAUUCAGAUUGUCGUCUGCAACUCGACGACAUGAAGCUGGAAUCGCUAGUAAUGGCGCAUCAACUACGACGCCGUGAAUACGUUCCCAGGCCUUGUACACACCGCCCGUCACAUCAUGAAAGCCGUUUGUACCCGAAGUCGCCCCUCAAAAGGUGCCGAAGGUAUGGAUGGUGAUUGGGAUG